AUUUCUUUAGUAUAAUAAGUACAGAUAGUUUCCAUUUAUAAAGUUAAAAGUUAAAGAAAUA
rnacentral:tRNA from 1 species